GUUAUGUCCUCACACAUUAUAACCAAUAGAAUGCAGUUUUACUUCUUCCAAUCAAAGUGCGUUGUGAUCGUGUCUUCUGCGUGUCACUUCCCAACUAGGGGAGGGAUGCAAAGCAAAAGUGUAAAAAGAUCGUUAAGAUUUCCGCGCUCGAAGUUUGAGAGUUUCAUGGGCUAUCCUUGACACCUUUUGGGACGCUUCGGAUUGGUGAAAGAGUAAGAUUCUGGUUGCGUUUUUAAGUGCGAGGUAUUUGGGAAAUUUUCUUCCAUACGUUGGAAAGCCUAGGAAGACGAGAAUUUGACAUUGCCUCAUGGCUUUCCUUACUUUUCUGUUGGAGCUGGUACAACAAGGCAUGGAUGAGAACCAGCAGCAAAGCAAAGUAAACAAAAGUGCAGAUGAAAGGAAGUGAGGUAAAAUUUGUUUUUUCAUUACAGCCACUUGAGUCUGUAAAUGGAAAGAAAACACUGAAAAAUGAUGAAAAUAACAGUCAACUGGAGCAGGAAAACUCCAAUCAACCUAGAGGGGCCAGAAAAUAAUAAUGUGCUUAGAAAUAACAGUUACCUCCAGCUAGAAAACAAAAAUGACAGAACAGCUUGCAGGGGCUGGAAAAUACAAAUUGUGGCUUCAAUGGAUGCCAGAAAUAUGUUGAUGAAAAACUGGCAGAUACUGUUUUGUGCAUUGUGCUGGUGAAGACAGCAGUGCAAGAAUAGGUGGAGAUGGAAUCAAGAAAUGCAAAACAGGAGUGAGUCCAUUUAGUACUGGAAAAACCAUGGAAGAGGUUUCUGCUGGUUUUGGUGUUGCUUUUCCUGACAUUCAACUACUGGACAAAGACACAGCUGUCAAAUGAAAACAAUAUUCAAGCCAGUGAACCAGAUGAUGAAGAUUUUGUCCUGUUUGAGCUCCUCAAGCCUCCCAAAGAUGCUUCCUAUGAGAUUCCAACCCUACAGAUUCUCUAUUUGAAAGAAGGAAGGAAGGAAGGUAUUCCAAGGCCUUAAUGCCAUCACUGAGCAAUAUCUUUUCAAACUAAGGAAGGAGAAAGGGAUAAAUGUUCCAAGAGGGUGUUACCAUGCAGUGAUGACAACAGAAAAAAAGGUUAAUUUUGAUUACUGGAGGCAGGUAAGGAUGGGUAGGUUGAGACAAAGAUUUUUCAUUACAAGUGGGAUAGAGCCUUGGAAUUUUGGACCAAGGAGACCACAGAACUGAUGUGGCAAGUAUCUUAAAGCAAGUUGAUAGUGAUGGAUGGGUCUUAUUGAGCAUUACAAAACAGCAUCAUUAUGGAAUGUGGAGAGACUGGAAAUGGAGGCAACUUGAGGAGAAAGACUUUUUGUAAUUUUAAAUAAAAUCAGUAAAGGAAAGCUAUUUGGCACAGUGUAAUACUAAUAAUUAAAUACCUAACAGGUCAUGCGUUCACUCUAACAGUUUCAAUUGGGUUUUGAAGCAUGCCUAAUUCAAGUUAUAUCCAAAAUUCUGCAGCUCCAAAUUGUGAAUAGUACCUAGACAUGGCCAGAGAACAUCCAGAGUUUCAUAUCCAGUGCAUUUCCAGAGCAGUAAAAUUUUAAAAAAAUGACACAAACAUUUAAAUUGCAAAGAAUUUAUUUAAAAUCUUUACAUUUACAGCAACCCAUAUAAAAAAGAAAUUUUACCAACCAUUAUGAGUGAAUGGGUGAAUAAAAUAGCCUUGACUCCUCAAUCUGGUGUCAACUGCUUUAUUUUAUUCAAAAGUAUAUAAGGGCAAAUUGGAAGGACAGAGUUACUUUCUGUAAUCUGUCAAAUAGUAUUGAACAGUUAGAGCCAAAUAGUUGCAAGUGAGUAAAAGGAUAGAAUGGAUUUAUUGUAUA